rnacentral:lncRNA from 1 species
AGUUUUUUUAAUAGGAUAUUUGUGUCUUUUUUUUUUGGCUCACGGUGAAUUUUUUGAAGCUCAAGAAAAAAUGGCUGCAGCCGAAAGCAUUUUUUUUAAUUUCUCCAACCGAUUUAAAUCAUCGGUGAGAAGGAAAAAAAACAUCCUACCUCCGUUUCAAAAUAAGACAAUUUUUUAGUUUCUAGAUACAAUGUUUUGACUUUUUUUAUUUAAAAUUUGGUUAUAAUUAAUAUUUUUUAAUCGACGAUAAAAUAUAUAUAAUGUUUUGACUUUUUUUAUUUAAA